rnacentral:lncRNA from 1 species
CUCCCUUCCCCCAGGAAGCCCUGCAGACGACCAGGAGUUUCCUCUGCAGACACAUUGUCCCAGCCCAUCCUCCUGUUCUCCCUCCCUCUCACCUCCUCCCUCUCUUCUUUCCAAACUCCUGGAUCAGGGGGAAUCUUAUGAUUCCAACAAACCUGCCUCGACGAUGUCAUAUCAGGCUGCCCUGCCCCAGGGAAGAAAGGGCCGUGACCAGGACCGCCAUCGGUGAGGGAGGAACCAGAAUGCAGCUGCUGAUGGAAAAACACAGAACUUCUGGGAAGAGGAGGCCAGAGGGCGGUCCUGUGAGCAGCUUCCCUUUCAAGCCGGCAUGCAGAAGCGGUCACAGCAUUCCCCAGCCCAACCUUCUAUUUAUUCAGAAACAAAGAGACUAGCCCACGCCAGGCAUCCUUUUCCUGCUGUGGAACCAUGAGCAAGUUCUCCCACUGAGCUGGUGUUCGCUGUGACAUGGGGAGAAAAGUGACUUCUGCUCUGAGGGUUUUUCAUGAAGAUUAAAUGAGAAGAUGCUGCAUGGUGAAGUCUUUGUCCCCUUGGUGUCUCAUGGCGUCCCCUUUCCUCUGGUCCUUCCUGCCUUCUCCCCUCCUGAAUUGUUUCCAGAUUCCACAGGAGGAGGCUGCUCUCAGCCCUCCCAGCAGGGCUAAGCCCCUGCUCCGGGAGCUGCUCCCACUUCUUAGAGGGCUCUGUGCCUAGCAGAGGUUGGCUUGUUUUUACCUGUUGGAAUCAGAGGAUGGCAGGGAUUGGGAGGAUUUUCUUCCUCUGGAGUAUGGCCCCCAGAAAGGUGGAGAGACUCUCCCACAACACAGACGUUUCAGAUCUGGCACUAAACAGAUGUCUAGGAAACACGUCAUUCAGUCAGUCUACAAACUCUGAAGGGGCCCCUUCUGGUCAGAAGGCUCAAGGCAUAUAGAGAUAAGCCUUUUCCUCAAGGAACUCUUCAGGGCCAAAGGAGACACAUCCUGGAGCCCCAUAGUAAAGGGCUGCAACUGCAGGGAUUUGGGACUUCAAACUCACUGUGCCAAAGGGGAAGUUAAGCUUGGGAAGUGAGUCACCAACACUGCCUUCCUUUUGUUCCCAAACAGAUACCUAUAAUUUCACAACCUGGGGUCAUAGCCUCAUUGCCUCUACUCUCUCCUCUCACACAUUUACUUUAUUUAUUUAUUUAUUUAAGACAGAGUCUCACUCCCUUGCCCAGGCUGGAGUGCAGUGGCACGAUCUCGGCUCACUGCAACCUCUGCCUCCUGGGUUCAAGUCAUUCUCAUGCCUCGGCCUCCCAAGUAGCUGGGAUUACAGGCAUGUGCCACCACACCUGGCUAAUUUUUGUAUUUUUAGUAGAGACGGGAUUUCGCCAUGUUGGCCAGGCUGGUCUGGAACCCUCAGGUGAUCCACCUGCCUCAGCCUCCCAAAGUGCUGGGAUUACAGGCGUGAGCCACCGGGCCCUGCCCAUGUUUAUCUUAUGUGAAAUGUAGAUUUACUGAGCCCAAGACAAUGCAUAAUUGACUUUUUCCUCUACUCCUUCUUUUCACAUGUAAAAUGUAGAUUUAUUGAGACUUAUAAGAGCCUCACAAGGAUAUAUCUGUCUGCCUCACUGCCCACCUUCCCUCCCUUCCCCACCCCCUCCUGCUUGCUCUUUCUCCUUUAAAUAUGAAGUUCCCAAAAAACAUAGGUCACAGAUGCUCCUGUGAUUUGUUUCCCCACCCCCAACUCUCCGUGGGUCCUUAAUCUUGGCUAAAUAAACCUCUAAC